UAGGGAAUCUUCCACAACGGGCGCAAGCCUGAUGGAGCAACGCCGCGUGUGUGAUGAAGGCUUUCGGGUCGUAAAGCACUGUUGUAUGGGAAGAAAUGCUAGAAUAGGGAAUGAUUCUAGUUCGACGGUACCAUACCAGAAAGGGACGGCUAAAUACGUGCCA
rnacentral:rRNA from 1 species